UGGGGAAUAUUGGACAAUGGGCGCAAGCCUGAUCCAGCCAUGCCGCGUGUGUGAAGAAGGCCUUUUGGUUGUAAAGCACUUUAAGCGAGGAGGAGGCUACUUGGAUUAAUACUCUAGGAUAGUGGACGUUACUCGCAGAAUAAGCACCGGCUAACUCUGUGCCAGCAGCCGCGGUAUUACAGAGGGUGCGAGCGUUAAUCGGAUUUACUGGGCGUAAAGCGUGCGUAGGCGGAUUCUUAAGUCGGAUGUGAAAUCCAUGAGCUUAACUUAGGAAUUGCAUUCGAAACUGGGAAGCUAGAGUAUGGGAGAGGAUGGUAGAAUUCCAGGUGUAGCGGUGAAAUGCGUAGAGAUCUGGAGGAAUACCGAUGGCGAAGGCAGCCAUCUGGCCUAAUACUGACGCUGAGGUACGAAAGCAUGGGGAGCAAACAGG
rnacentral:rRNA from 1 species